CUCACCAGUCACCACGGCAAGGGAAUGCCUGAAGCUCAACACGCUGACGGAUCUAGAGGUGCAGAUCCAUGGAUGCUCUAAUGAUGACGCCGGUGAGGGCGUGAGGCGAGCUCGUCUCCGUCUCGGUUCAUGCUGCCGCCGUCCCCGCCUCCACAGCAGCAGCAGCCCUCGCCGGUGACCACCUCGGCGGGCCGCCGCAUGGAUCCACUCCAACCCUCCAAGCUCUGUAAAUUGUCAUUCCAGAAAGCUCCACAAUCUAUACAAUGAUAAAUCUAUGCUCAGAUCUGCAGAGAUUGCCAGGGACUAGAACCUUUCAUUGUACUUCUACGGAUCUCCAUUAUUAGCAUAGAAAGCUGCGCACGAGUGAAUAUUCAAACCUCAUAUAUUCUGAGGCUUUUGUGGUGUACUAAGCAGACCAAGAUCCUUCUCAUGAAGUGGACAGGCUUGCAGAGAAGACAGAAACCUUGGCAGGACCUGCAUCUGUUUAGCUGACCAGACAUCAAAGUUGGUAGGGAGUACAAAAGCCAAGAGGUGGAAGAGGAAAGUCGCCAAGUAGAAGCCAUCGCUCAUGAUGUAGUGGUGUGAUGUUGUUUAGUUGCCCCAGUAUGGAUUGUUAAUAAGCUAGGGCCGGAACAUAAACUCAAGACUCAAGAACAUAAACUCUGUAAUAAUACUGCAAAUGAUCAAAGAGUUCUGCUCAUCAAGCGUCAACAGAA